UCGCAAAUCUUCUGUUUCACUUCACUCUUCACCCGCGUAGUUAUCAAACUACGGAUCCACUGGGACACUCACUUGUCUUAAUAACAGCCAGAAUGAUUUUUGCUCGAGUUCAAAGUUACCAAAAAAGUAAGGCAAAACAAAGCAGAUGGUAAAAUUUCAUCGAGUAACGUAAAUAAUAUAAAGAUAAUGUCAAUUGUCGCGUAAGCGUACUAUCGAUUCCUAAUUAACUAUGAGCAAUAUACUUACACAUAUAGUUAAGUUAUUCAAAUCUUAUAAAAACAAUUUUAUGGAAUCGGUUUACAUAGAACCGUGAAAAUACAUAUAAUUGAAAUAAUUGUCACAUUAUACUUAUUUUAAGAGUUAUUCAACAGUUCAGUUGUUGCUUUUAAUAACCGUUAUCGUAAACUACGGAGAUAUCAAAAAUAAUAAACCUGUAAAAUGUCAAUAAUACAAGACUCUGCUCCAACAAAUCAAAUGGAUGAGCUAGCAUUUAAAUUGCAGCUCUUAUUUUAUUACAGUAAGUUGCUCAUGAAAAGUUUGGACGAACAAUCACAGUUAUUGCAUGAAAUAGAAGUUCAAAAGAGUGAAUUAGAAGAGCUAGAGGCAAUUGCUGAAGCUCAGAAAGAUAUUAAUAAUGCUGAUAAUUAGAAAACUAUCUUUGGUGAUUUUUUUUAUUGCUUUAAAUAAUGUGUAUAAAUGUGAUAUUACUAUGUAAGUAAUUGGAUAAAAUGUUAAAAUAAUUAAAUGAUGUAAUAAGUAGAGUAAAAAAUGUAACAAAUA